CAAGACUCCUACGGGAGGCAGCAGUGGGGAAUAUUGGGCAAUGGAGGCAACUCUGACCCAGCAACGCCGCGUGAAUGAUGAAGGUCUUCGGAUUGUAAAGUUCUUUUCUAAGGGAAGAAGAAAGUGACGGUACCUUAGGAAUAAGCCUCGGCUAACUACGUGCCAGCAGCCGCGGUAAUACGUAGGGGGCAAGCGUUAUCCGGAUUUACUGGGUGUAAAGGGAGCGUAGGCGGUGCAGCAAGUCAGAAGUGAAAGCCCGGGGCUCAACUCCGGGACUGCUUUUGAAACUGUUGAACUAGAUUGCAGGAGAGGUAAGUGGAAUUCCUAGUGUAGCGGUGAAAUGCGUAGAUAUUAGGAGGAACACCAGUGGCGAAGGCGGCUUACUGGACUGUAAAUGACGCUGAGGCUCGAAAGCGUGGGGAGCAAACAGGAUUAGAUACCCCGGUAGG
rnacentral:rRNA from 1 species